rnacentral:rRNA from 1 species
CGAACCGUGCGAACGUUGUUCGGAAUCACUGGGCUUAAAGGGCGCGUAGGCGGCUUGCCAAGUCAGGGGUGAAAUCCUGCAGCUCAACUGUAGAAGUGCCUUUGAUACUGGCGAGCUCGAGGGAGGUAGGGGUGGGUGGAACUUCUGGUGGAGCGGUGAAAUGCGUUGAUAUCAGAAGGAACGCCGGUGGCGAAAGCGACCCACUGGAUCUCUACUGACGCUGAGGCGCGAAAGCUAGGGGAGCAAACGGGAUUAGAUACCCCGGUAGUCCUAGCCCUAAACGAUGGGCACUAGAUUGCAGACUGAUCAUGGGUUUGCAGUCGAAGCAAAAGUGUUAAGUGCCCCGACCUGGGGAGUAUGGUCGCAAGGCUG